GCGAAAAUGUUGAGUCUGGCAUCAAAACGAUUGAUUGGGCUAACGUCAAGGAGAUCCCGUCACAACCCGUUCAUUGGCAUCGGUUUAGUUGGAGCUCCUGCUUGUGGCGAUGUUAUGAAGCUUCAAAUCAAAAUCGACGACAAAACAAAAAAAAAUUCAGCAAAAACAAAAAUACCAAAUAGCAAGCAUCCAAAAUCAAACCAGCAAAGAAAGAGCAAGAAUUCCAAAUUGGCUUGCAUCAAAAGAAAAACUAAAAAAGAAGAGAAUCAAAAGAGAAGAAAUCCACACCCAUUUUAGGUUUUGCGGCUUGGAGAACUCAAGCCAGUUUGAUGAUCCGAGUGGUUAAGAGUCAUGGUUGGUUGAAGAAACGCUGUGG
rnacentral:lncRNA from 1 species